rnacentral:rRNA from 1 species
GGGGGAGUAACUAACUCGUAAAGAAGUGGGCGUAAUACCGCGACUGAGAAUCUACGGAUGAAAGCAGGGGAGUCGCAAGACCUUGUGCUACUAGAGCGGCUGAUGGCAGAUUAGGUAGUUGGUGGGAUAAAAGCUUACCAAGCCGACGAUCUGUAGCUGGUCUGAGAGGACGAUCAGCCACACUGGGACUGAGACACGGCCCAGACUCCUACGGGAGGCAGCAGUGGGGAAUUUUGGACAAUGGGCGAAAGCCUGAUCCAGCAAUGCCGCGUGCAGGAUGAAGGCCUUCGGGUUGUAAACUGCUUUUGUACGGAACGAAAAGCUUCUGGUUAAUACCUGGGAGUCAUGACGGUACCGUAAGAAUAAGCACCGGCUAACUACGUG